rnacentral:rRNA from 1 species
GACGAACGCUGGCGGCGUGCCUAAUACAUGCAAGUAGAACGCACAGUUUAUACCGUAGCUUGCUACACCAUAGACUGUGAGUUGCGAACGGGUGAGUAACGCGUAGGUAACCUGCCUGGUAGCGGGGGAUAACUAUUGGAAACGAUAGCUAAUACCGCAUAAUAUUAAUUAUUGCAUGAUAAUUAAUUGAAAGGUGCAAUUGCACCACUACCAGAUGGACCUGCGUUGUAUUAGCUAGUAGGUGAGGUAACGGCUCACCUAGGCGACGAUACAUAGCCGACCUGAGAGGGUGAUCGGCCAAACUGGGACUGAGACACGGCCCAGACUCCUACGGGAGGCAGCAGUAGGGAAUCUUCGGCAAUGGACGAAAGUCUGACCGAGCAACGCCGCGUGAGUGAAGAAGGUUUUCGGAUCGUAAAGCUCUGUUGUAAGAGAAGAACGGGUGUGAGAGUGGAAAGUUCACACUGUGACGGUAGCUUACCAGAAAGGGACGGCUAACUACGUG